GGGGGAACUGAAACAUCUAAGUACCCCGAGGAAAAGAAAUCAACCGAGAUUCCCCCAGUAGCGGCGAGCGAACGGGGAGGAGCCCAGAGCCUGAAUCAGUGUGUGUGUUAGUGGAAGCGUCUGGAAAGGCGCGCGAUACAGGGUGACAGCCCCGUACACAAAAAUGCACAUGCUGUGAGCUCGAUGAGUAGGGCGGGACACGUGGUAUCCUGUCUGAAUAUGGGGGGACCAUCCUCCAAGGCUAAAUACUCCUGACUGACCGAUAGUGAACCAGUACCGUGAGGGAAAGGCGAAAAGAACCCCGGCGAGGGGAGUGAAAAAGAACCUGAAACCGUGUAC
rnacentral:rRNA from 1 species